GCAGAUCAUUUACCUGAAUAUGGUCAGAGACGAUAACAAAACAACACUCACUCACUCAAAUUUCAGACACAACUAACGCAGAUUUUGUACCUCGAACAACACUAACUUGCAGAUACUGGUGACUCAUUCAGGACCAUCACUAACAGCUUCUGUGUUGGGGUCUCCACCGUCUCCAAUAUUCCAAUAGUCCCUGAUGUCCUGACUGCUAUUUGGGACUGCCUUGUAGAGGAGAUCAUGGCUGUGCCCACUUAUCAGUGGAAUCUGGCAGCGAUGGGAAAGCACAGGCCCACAGCUGGGUAGAGAAGUCCUCUGAGCUGUCCUGUUUACUGUGGCACUGGAGGACGUGGAGAGGCUUCAGAUGCACCGGCUGCUGGAGGAAGGAAACAUGGACAAAGAGGAAGAUGGACAUGGGGAGAUGAGAGUUGAGAAAGAAGAGACUUUAAUGCCAUUCUGAUAAUACCGAUAUGUGGUCAUUCAACAUUACUGUGUAGAAAUAAAGCUGACUUGCAUCCAA